UUCAGCUAACAACAUUCACACAGCAUUGUUCCAGCUAUCAGCACUAGCAUCUUCAGCGGCCAUAUUCAGCUAACGGCAUUCACAGUAACAUUAUUGCAGCCCAUGAUUCUGCCGACUCAUCAUUUCCCAGCAGCUGUUCCGCUGCAGCAGAGGAGCUGCUCUCAUCCUCCGGCAUAAAUUCUGCUCCCUGCAUGAUGACAAGCAAGAGACAAAAGGCAGGAGUCGCAUCUUAAACAGGAAGCAAGAAUUUAAAUAAUAAAAAAGCUGGGGGGGAAAUGGGGCUAAUUUCAUGUCAUUUUUAUUCAUUAACACCAACUUUAUAUUGCAAUGAAAUAAAAUAUAUAGAGCUUUGCAUAAAAAAAUGUUUUUUGCUCUAUAAAAAUUGUUACCAGUUGCACAAAAUUCAUUAAAAUCUGAAGGUGUAGAACAAGAAAAGUGUAUUUAAAGACCCAUAAAUCCACACAGGAAACCUAUAGAUAGUUGACACCUUAAAUUAUUUCCAGUUAUUUAAAAAAGAAAGUUUUUUUUUUGAAGUAAAGG